rnacentral:rRNA from 1 species
GACGAACGCUGGCGGCGUGCUUAACACAUGCAAGCCGAACGAAGAGCGAUGGAAGCUUGCUUCUAUCAAUCUUAGUGGCGAACGGGUGAGUAACGCGUAAUCAACCUGCCCUUCAGAGGGGGACAACAGUUGGAAACGACUGCUAAUACCGCAUACGAUCUAAUCUCGGCAUCGAGGAUAGAUGAAAGGUGGCCUCUACAUGUAAGCUAUCACUGAAGGAGGGGAUUGCGUCUGAUUAGCUAGUUGGAGGGGUAACGGCCCACCAAGGCGAUGAUCAGUAGCCGGUCUGAGAGGAUGAACGGCCACAUUGGGACUGAGACACGGCCCAGACUCCUACGGGAGGCAGCAGUGGGGAAUCUUCCGCAAUGGACGAAAGUCUGACGGAGCAACGCCGCGUGAGUGAUGACGGCCUUCGGGUUGUAAAGCUCUGUUAAUCGGGACGAAAGGCCUUCUUGCGAAUAGUGAGAAGGAUUGACGGUACCGGAAUAGAAAGCCACGGCUAACUACGUG